UACGUAGGCAGCGAGCGUUGUUCGGAGUUACUGGGCGUAAAGAGUGCGUAGGCGGUUUUCUAAGUUUGGUGUGAAAUCUCCCGGCUUAACUGGGAGGGUGCGCCGAAAACUGGAAGGCUUGAGUAUGGGAGAGGUAAGCGGAAUUCCUGGUGUAGCGGUGAAAUGCGUAGAUAUCGGGAGGAACACCAGUGGCGAAGGCGACUUCCUGGCCUGUUCUUGACGCUGAGGCGCGAAAGCUAGGGUAGCAAACGGG
rnacentral:rRNA from 1 species